UUCUCCAACUCACCAUAGAUAUAUUGGUGUUUGUUUUGGAUUUAUAAAUGGUUCAUUUCAAUUUAGAUGGAACUGACAAAAAAAAAAACGCUUGUUCGCAAGCACAUGUUUACAAGAACAACAUGUACUCACAAAUUCUGGCAGAAUUGCGAGUAAAAAGCUUGUGCUUGCUAUUUUGCCAGCAAGUAGUGCUUGCAAACAACAAUUUAGUUUUUGCAUCAAUAGUUUUCUAGUAAACGAAUUAUGCUUGCUACACUGCUUGCAGAUUUGAGAGCACAAUUAAUGGUGCUUGCAAAAUUAUUACUCCAUCUUCCUCAUUUUUUCCACCUCUUUCUCACUUUUUCCGUUCUUUUUUUUCUAUGUCUCUUUUCUUGCUUACGAUUUCCUCAGUGAAAUAAUGGGCCGCAAACCCUACACUGAAAAUACUUCUCAAAAUCUCCCACCGCCUAAUUCUUGUCCAUCUCUCCCAAUUCUCAAAAUUCUCACCGCCCAUCUCUCUCCCUAAAGAAACCCUAAACCUCCCCUCUCUCGUAUCAUCUCUCACUAAACCAUGUGUUGCGCUCUGAUUCAUUUCAUCCCUACGCCUUCGAACAAUUAUCAACGACGAGAUUCGAUCAGAGGAUCAAACGUUGCCGCGCAAAGCUUCUCGAAGAGCAGAUUGUUUGAAUUGAGAGAAUGAGUAAUUGGAUCAUGUGAAGCCGAGACUCUGCAGGAAAUCGAAAAAUUGCGGGAGCUGGUAAAGGUCCGUAGUCAACAAGUUCAAGAGAGGAUGAGAAGAAGUGCAUAGAUUUAGGGAGUGUUAGGUUUGACAUCUAUGUUUAUGGAAGAAAAGAGAGUUUUUUUUUCUACUCUAGCUUCAUGGUUUGCAAGUUAUGAAAUAGUGGUUUGACAGUUA